GACGAACGCUGCCGGCGUGUUUAACACAUGCAAGUCGAACGUGAUUUUUGUGAAAUUCUUUCGGAAUGAAAUGGAAAUAAAAGUGGCGAACGGUGAGUAACACGUGAGCAACCUACCUUACACAGGGGGAUAGCCGUUGGAAACGACGAUUAAUACCGCAUGAGACCACAGAAUCGCAUGAUAUAGGGGUCAAAGAUUUAUCGGUGUAAGAAGGGCUCGCGUCUGAUUAGCUAGUUGGAAGGGUAAAGGCCUACCAAGGCGACGAUCAGUAGCCGGUCUGAGAGGAUGAACGGCCACAUUGGAACUGAGACACGGUCCAAACUCCUACGGGAGGCAGCAGUGGGGAAUAUUGCACAAUGGGGGGAACCCUGAUGCAGCGACGCCGCGUGAGCGAAGAAGGUUUUCGAAUCGUAAAGCUCCUGUCCUAUGAGAAGAUAAUGACGGUAUCAUAGGA
rnacentral:rRNA from 1 species